CCCCCCAGCUCGCUCACAUGCUGGGUGCAGCCCCUCAAACGCCGCCCAGCGCGUACAGCGCCAGACAAACACCUUUUUUCCGUGCGAGCUUGCAGGCAUAACGGAGACAACGAGGUGAACAAAACAGUCCCGGCUGAACGGCCGGAGCAGGAGGCUCGGGGAAAUACAGUGCCCUCGGCGGGUGCUCCGCAGUGGUGAAGAAGUGCAACUGCAUUAUGUCCUGCCGUGCGAUCUCAGGGCAAGGAGAGCUGGGCGAAAGGGCUGCCAAGGGGAAAGAAGCCUGAUACCGUGUUCAUGUGCAUAGGCCCCUCUCAGACACCUCCAUAUUGAGGGAAACUGCUUUGGACAUUCUUAGUUUAAAAACAAGAUGCACUUAAAAGGAACAAAUCCCUCCCCCAUUCUUUCUCCUAAAUGGAAUGAGUUAAAGAGCUCUAAAUUUUUGACUAGUUGCUGAGGUGAAAAUAGGAAGAAACAACUUGUGCAUAUGCUCUUUACCAUACCAUGUUUGACAGAUCUUUUCCUCACCAGACUUAUGAUUGCUUCUCUUGUGUUGGUUGUAGGAAACUGGUUUCACUUCAAACAUCCUCAUCCAGGUCCUCUGAGCCACAGAAAUCUGAUGACCUCCAUAAGAUUUGCGUCCUUUGUUCCUGCAGUUCCCACAGCUAUCUCAGCAGCCCUACCUUCCUCUACGGAUCCUUGACACUCCUCCCUUCAGGGGAGACGGCAGGACGCGUGGUUAGUCCUGAGCUGUGCAGGGGCGGGUGGGCUGGCAGGCUGCUGCCAAAGGGGUCGCGGCAUGCCCGAGUUCCCCCUGCCUCUCCCUGGAGGCUGGCAAUGCCGAUUUCUCACCUCCACUUCUCAUGAAACCUGAGAUUUUUUUCCUCCUCCCUAAAUGUUAAGAAGUUACAAGGAGGAGGCCAGCCUGACAGCUGAAUAGAAGCAGACCGACCGACUAACAUAAGCUUCAUUUUCAUUAGAAAAAAUGUCAAAAAUAAUAGAUUAUAACUUGGAGGGUUUCUUUAAACUUCAAAUAGCAGGCAGUAGGGCACCGUUCUGAUAAUUUUCCCUUUAGGUCUCUUAACAUUUAUCGGUACUGCAUAUAGUAUCCUAAAUACUUCACCCUGCUCUCUCUGAUGAAAAUCCAUUAAGUGAAAGUAUUUUAUCUGUUUUAGAGUCUCACAGCAUCUCACUUUUCUCUAAAUCCACCCAAAGUUGGCUCCUCUUGAUUAUACUGUGCAGUGCAUCAACUUUCACAGGUACCUCAAAUUGCACUAGUUCCAGCACCACCUCGGAAAGACCUUUGCCUUCCGUUGCCGGGGACUGCUCAGGAAACCCAUCGCAAAGGCAUGCGAGGAUACCUUGGAUCCAGUUGCCCUCAAUGUAUCUUGUGGAAUCAAAUCUGCGUGGAUAUCUCAGUUUCUCCAAAGUUACCGUUAGGUAACAAUGACACAAUGCUAUUUCUAUACCAGUCCUCGGGGAUUUAUACCCGGGAAUGCAGAAAGGACUCUCUACAUCCAGCACUGCUGAUCCUCAGACAGUGAUUUGGAGGAGACAGCAGUAUCUCCACUACAGGAGCUCUUACUGUCCCUAUCGACUGUUUGACAAGGACUUUACUAGUGGUUUAACAGCAGUUGGCAUCACCCUUAUAAAUAACAUACCUAAAUAAAGGUACUUCUUACUAUGGUCUCA
rnacentral:lncRNA from 1 species